UAAUGAAUACAGAAAAAAGGAAGCCUUGCGCUAACAAGACUUCCUAUGUAGAGCCGUUUAAGACGGUGACAAUACUAUGAUUAUUAAAUA
rfam:Leuconostoc lactis strain WIKIM21 contig00029, whole genome shotgun sequence.